rnacentral:ribozyme from 14 species
ACCUUUUUCUAUUUUCCUUUUCUUUUUUUAAACUGUAUGUUUAUCCUAUCUACUAUUUUGUUCUAUGCAAAAGAAAAGGAAGAGAAGAAUCGAAAACAAAAGGA